UGACUGCAGCGCUAUUCUCAGGAGCAAAA
rnacentral:piRNA from 1 species